GCGGGAAUAGCUCAGUGGUAGAGCAUCGCCUUGCCAAGGCGAGGGUCGCGAGUUCAAGUCUCGUUUCCCGCU
rnacentral:tRNA from 1 species